CUCCUCCCUGGUUUUUCUCUUCCCGAAGUUUUUCUCUCCUGAACUUUGACGCUGAUCGUCUCCGUGUGAAGCUCCGUGUUAAGGUAACGUUAGCAGUGUGUAAUGUUUCCUGGCUAACAUCAGCUGUGUGCAGCUUAGUUCAGCACAAAUCAGCCGCUCCAUAGUUCACGGUAACGGACUCACAGCUGGACCGAGAGGCUGACCGCGCCCUGAGCUCUGAGUGAGGCCGCUGUACGUGACGUGGAAACAGAUGUGCUGUGAAGAAAUAUACUGGCCGUUUAUCAAUGCCCAAGUACGCGAGCACGGACUCACGAUUUGUACAACUGGAACACCUGCGUACUUGAUGAUGUCACAGGUCCGGAGUUUUUACUGCCGUCCCCUCCUAAUUUAACUACUGACUGAGGUCCAUAAGAAGAAGAUGAUGAUGAUGAUGAUGAUGAUGAUGAUGAUGAUGAUGAGGAGGAGGAGGAAGGAAGAGGAGGACAGAGCAGAGUCUGCAGGAUCCAGCUGUCCGUCUGUGACCAGUGAUUGGUCCAAAGAUCUACCUCCAUUCUUCAGUGGUGAACCUGGACCAACGAGAGGUCAGAGGUCACAGUCUGCAGGAUCCAGCUGUCCGUCUGUGAGGAGUGUCUCAUCCAAAGAUCUACCUCCACACUUCAGUGGUGAACCUGGACCAACGAGGAAGAGGAAGAGGAGUGGUGUUUGUGAGGAGGAGCAGCUGUCCUGCUGUGUUUUGUGUCAG